rnacentral:lncRNA from 1 species
UUUGUCUCCUUGCUCUGGGCAGAGUUGGGAGACUGCCUCCUGGACCCAAAUCCAGAGAGCCCUGGAGGCAGAACUGGGAAGUGCCCUGGUGUGGAGAAAACUCCCAGCUCCACUGCUUAAGAUCUGAUUGACUUUGGGCAAUUUACUUCUUCCCUCUGAGCCUCAGUUUGCUCAUCUGUAAAAUGGGGCUGACAAAAGUUACAAGCUGCUGGGCGCAGCGGCUCACGCUUGUAAUCCCAGCACUUUGGGAGGCCAAGGUGGGCAGAUCACCUGAGGUCGGAAGUUCGAGACCAGCCUGAGCAACAUGGAGAAACCCCAUCUCUACUAAAAACACAAAAAAUUAGCCAGGCAUGGUGGCGCACG